CCUACGGGAGGCAGCAGUGAGGAAUAUUGGUCAAUGGGCGCGACCCUGAACCAGCCAAGUCGCGUGAGGGAAGACGGUCCUAUGGAUUGUAAACCUCUUUUGUCGGGGAGCAAAAGACGCCACGCGUGGCGUUCCGAGAGUACCCGAAGAAAAAGCAUCGGCUAACUCCGUGCCAGCAGCCGCGGUAAUACGGAGGAUGCGAGCGUUAUCCGGAUUUAUUGGGUUUAAAGGGUGCGCAGGCGGAAGAUCAAGUCAGCGGUAAAAGUGAGAGGCUCAACCUCUUCGAGCCGUUGAAACUGGUUUUCUUGAGUGAGUGAGAAGUAUGCGGAAUGCGUGGUGUAGCGGUGAAAUGCAUAGAUAUCACGCAGAACUCCGAUUGCGAAGGCAGCAUACCGGCGCUCAACUGACGCUCAUGCACGAAAGUGUGGGUAUCGAACAGGAUUAGAUACCCGGGUAGUC
rnacentral:rRNA from 1 species